rnacentral:rRNA from 1 species
UUAAGCGACUAAGCGUACACGGUGGAUGCCCUGGCAGUCAGAGGCGAUGAAGGACGUGCUAAUCUGCGAAAAGCGUCGGUAAGGUGAUAUGAACCGUUAUAACCGGCGAUGUCCGAAUGGGGAAACCCAGUGCAAUUCGUUGCACUAUCGUUAACUGAAUACAUAGGUUAACGAGGCGAACCGGGGGAACUGAAACAUCUAAGUACCCCGAGGAAAAGAAAUCAACCGAGAUUCCCCCAGUAGCGGCGAGCGAACGGGGAGCAGCCCAGAGUCUGAAUCAGCUUGUGUGUUAGUGGAACGGUCUGGAAAGUCCGACGGUACAGGGUGAUAGUCCCGUACACCAAAAUGCACAGGCUGUGAACUCGAAGAGUAGGGCGGGACACGUGGUAUCCUGUCUGAAUAUGGGGGGACCAUCCUCCAAGGCUAAAUACUCCUGACUGACCGAUAGUGAACCAGUACCGUGAGGGAAAGGCGAAAAGAACCCCGGCGAGGGGAGUGAAAAAGAACCUGAAACCGUGUACGUACAAGCAGUGGGAGCACCUUCGGGUGUGACUGCGUACCUUUUGUAUAAUGGGUCAGCGACUUAUAUUCUGUAGCAAGGUUAACCGUAUAGGGGAGCCGCAGGGAAACCGAGUCUUAACUGGGCGUUAAGUUGCAGGGUAUAGACCCGAAACCCGGUGAUCUAGCCAUGGGCAGGUUGAAGGUUGGGUAACACUAACUGGAGGACCGAACCGACUAAUGUUGAAAAAUUAGCGGAUGACUUGUGGCUGGGGGUGAAAGGCCAAUCAAACCGGGAGAUAGCUGGUUCUCCCCGAAAGCUAUUUAGGUAGCGCCUCGUGAAUUCAUCUUCGGGGGUAGAGCACUGUUUCGGCUAGGGGGUCAUCCCGACUUACCAACCCGAUGCAAACUACGAAUACCGAAGAAUGUUAUCACGGGAGACACACGGCGGGUGCUAACGUCCGUCGUGAAGAGGGAAACAACCCAGACCGCCAGCUAAGGUCCCAAAGUCAUGGUUAAGUGGGAAACGAUGUGGGAAGGCACAGACAGCCAGGAUGUUGGCUUAGAAGCAGCCAUCAUUUAAAGAAAGCGUAAUAGCUCACUGGUCGAGUCGGCCUGCGCGGAAGAUGUAACGGGGCUAAACCAUGCACCGAAGCUGCGGCAGCGACACUAUGUGUUGUUGGGUAGGGGAGCGUUCUGUAAGCCUGCGAAGGUGACCUGUGAGGGUUGCUGGAGGUAUCAGAAGUGCGAAUGCUGACAUAAGUAACGAUAAAGCGGGUGAAAAGCCCGCUCGCCGGAAGACCAAGGGUUCCUGUCCAACGUUAAUCGGGGCAGGGUGAGUCGACCCCUAAGGCGAGGCCGAAAGGCGUAGUCGAUGGGAAACAGGUUAAUAUUCCUGUACUUGGUGUUACUGCGAAGGGGGGACGGAGAAGGCUAUGUUAGCCGGGCGACGGUUGUCCCGGUUUAAGCAUGUAGGCUGAUUGUCCAGGCAAAUCCGGAUAAUCAAGGCUGAGGUGUGAUGACGAGGCACUACGGUGCUGAAGUAACAAAUGCCCUGCUUCCAGGAAAAGCCUCUAAGCAUCAGGUAACAUUAAAUCGUACCCCAAACCGACACAGGUGGUCAGGUAGAGAAUACCAAGGCGCUUGAGAGAACUCGGGUGAAGGAACUAGGCAAAAUGGUGCCGUAACUUCGGGAGAAGGCACGCUGGUGUGUAGGUGAAGUCCCUGCGGAUGGAGCUGAGACCAGUCGAAGAUACCAGCUGGCUGCAACUGUUUAUUAAAAACACAGCACUGUGCAAACACGAAAGUGGACGUAUACGGUGUGACGCCUGCCCGGUGCCGGAAGGUUAAUUGAUGGGGUUAUCCGUAAGGAGAAGCUCUUGAUCGAAGCCCCGGUAAACGGCGGCCGUAACUAUAACGGUCCUAAGGUAGCGAAAUUCCUUGUCGGGUAAGUUCCGACCUGCACGAAUGGCGUAAUGAUGGCCAGGCUGUCUCCACCCGAGACUCAGUGAAAUUGAACUCGCUGUGAAGAUGCAGUGUACCCGCGGCAAGACGGAAAGACCCCGUGAACCUUUACUAUAGCUUGACACUGAACAUUGAGCCUUGAUGUGUAGGAUAGGUGGGAGGCUUUGAAGCGUGGACGCCAGUCUGCGUGGAGCCAACCUUGAAAUACCACCCUUUAAUGUUUGAUGUUCUAACGUUGGCCCCUUACCGGGGUUGCGGACAGUGUCUGGUGGGUAGUUUGACUGGGGCGGUCUCCUCCCAAAGCGUAACGGAGGAGCACGAAGGUUAGCUAAUCCUGGUCGGACAUCAGGAGGUUAGUGCAAUGGCAUAAGCUAGCUUGACUGCGAGCGUGACGGCGCGAGCAGGUGCGAAAGCAGGUCAUAGUGAUCCGGUGGUUCUGAAUGGAAGGGCCAUCGCUCAACGGAUAAAAGGUACUCCGGGGAUAACAGGCUGAUACCGCCCAAGAGUUCAUAUCGACGGCGGUGUUUGGCACCUCGAUGUCGGCUCAUCACAUCCUGGGGCUGAAGUAGGUCCCAAGGGUAUGGCUGUUCGCCAUUUAAAGUGGUACGCGAGCUGGGUUUAGAACGUCGUGAGACAGUUCGGUCCCUAUCUGCCGUGGGCGCUGGAGAAUUGAGGGGGGCUGCUCCUAGUACGAGAGGACCGGAGUGGACGCAUCACUGGUGUUCGGGUUGUCAUGCCAAUGGCACUGCCCGGUAGCUAAAUGCGGAAGAGAUAAGUGCUGAAAGCAUCUAAGCACGAAACUUGCCCCGAGAUGAGUUCUCCCUGAGACUUUAAGUCUCCUGAAGGAACGUUAAAGACGAUGACGUUGAUAGGCCGGGUGUGUAAGCGCAGCGAUGCGUUGAGCUAACCGGUACUAAUGAACCGUGAGGCUUAACCU